rnacentral:rRNA from 1 species
CAUCGCCUCUUGUAACCAUAAGAGGUCCAGCCUGCCCAGUGAUUUUAUUUAACGGCCGCGGUAUUCUAACCGUGCGAAGGUAGCGCAAUCACUUGUUUUCUAAAUAAAGACCAGUAUGAAAGGCAUCACGAGAACUUAACUGUCUCCUUUCUCCAAUCAGUGAACCUAAUCUCCCCGUGAAGAAGCGGGGAUCCCCCUAUAAGACGAGAAGACCCUGUGGAGCUUAAAAUAUAAUAUCAACUACUGCCCCAAUUACCCUCCCCACUUCCCCAGCGGCACCCUGAUCACAUAUUUUUGGUUGGGGUGACCGCGGAGAAAAACUUACCCUCCGUGAUGAAAAAGAAUUCCCUUAAACAACAAGUUACAACUUUAUGUAUCAAAAAAAUUGACAUUCAUUGACCCAAUAAAUUGAUUAACGAACCCAGUUACCCCAGGGAUAACAGCACAAUCCACUUUGAGAGCCCCUAUCGACAAGUGGGCUUAUGACCUCGAUGUUGGAUCGGGAUAUCCUAGUGGUGCAGCCGCUACUAAAGGUUCGUUUGUUCAACGAUUAAAAUCCC